UACGUAGGGUGCGAGCGUUGUCCGGAAUUACUGGGCGUAAAGAGCUCGUAGGUGGUUUGUCGCGUUGUCCGUGAAAACUCACAACUCAAUUGUGGGCGUGCGGGCGAUACGGGCAGACUGGAGUACUGCAGGGGAGACUGGAAUUCCAGGUGUAGCGGUGAAAUGCGUAGAUAUCAGGAGGAACACCGGUGGCGAAGGCGGGUCUCUGGGCAACAACUGACGCUGAGGAGCGAAAGCGUGGGGAGCGAACAGG
rnacentral:rRNA from 1 species